rnacentral:rRNA from 1 species
CUACGGGACGCUCCAGUGGGGAAUAUUGCACAAUGGGGGAAACCCUGAUGCAGCAACGCCGCGUGGAGGAUGACGCAUUUCGGUGUGUAAACUCCUUUUAUAUCCCAAGAUAAUGACGGUAGGAUAUGAAUAAGCACCGGCUAACUCCGUGCCAGCAGCCGCGGUAAUACGGAGGGUGCAAGCGUUACUCGGAAUCACUGGGCGUAAAGGGCGCGUAGGCGGGUUGUCAAGUCUUGAGUGAAAUCCAACGGCUCAACCGUUGAACUGCUUGAGAAACUGGCAGCCUAGAGUAAGGGAGAGGUAGAUGGAAUUGGUGGUGUAGGGGUAAAAUCCGUAGAGAUCACCAGGAAUACCCAUUGCGAAGGCGAUCUGCUGGAACUUUGCUGACGCUGAGGCGCGAAAGCGUGGGGAGCAAACAGGAUUAGAUACCCCAGUAGUC